CAUAAGUUGCGGUACUAAAUCAAAAUUUUCUUUAUUUACAACAGACAUAUUUACAUAAGCUAAAUAUAUAACAAAGAAAAAUUCAGGGUCAUGAUAUGCCAUAUACCCUGUUUUUAUACCGGCAUUUUUAGUUCUAAAAUGUUUAUACAAAAGUUCUUGAUUUUUAAACACUUUGUUAUAUUGGUUUUGUAGAAAAAAGGUUUUGACGAAAGAAUAGUUAUCAAUUCCAAUUAUAUUUUUAACAACAAGCCUUUCAUAUUGUUCAGUCAGAAGAGCUGAUUUCUUAAUUAAACUAAUUACUUCAGGUUGACUGUUUGAACAGCUGGUUUGAUUGGUUGACACUAUACU
rnacentral:lncRNA from 1 species